rnacentral:misc_RNA from 1 species
GGCAGUUUCUCGUGCUUUUGGAGACAAGAACCUCAAAUCACACUUGCGCUCUGACCCUGAUAUCCAGAAUACUGUUAUUGACUCAGAUGCUGAUGUUCUCAUACUUGCAAGUGAUGGUCUAUGGAAGGUGAUGUCUAAUCAAGAGGCAGUUGAUAUUGCAAGAAAGACAAAAGAUCCACAGAGGGCAGCCAAGCAACUAGCAGCAGGGGCAUUGAAUAAGGGCAGUAAGGAUGAUAUCUCCUGCAUUGUAGUUCGCUUCAAUGGGUAAAGCAAAAGAGAAAAUUCUUGCCUAGACCUGAUCGAUCAUAGACUUAAGACACAAACAUGAGGGUUUUGCUAUAAUAUGGGAUACAAUUCUAUAGGCUAACACCAGUUUGAAAUCUCAUGAAGUCCUGUUACUCUAAAACUUACUUCAAAAUAGCUUAUUUCUUUCCCUUCCCCUUCUCUGUAUAAUUGUGUGGUUUGCUUUUGCUUGUGCGUGUAGAUUCAUAUACCUUGAUUUUUCUUUGCAAUUUGCACCUUGAGAUGAAGCACUGUGGAGAUGGUUGGGUUUAUGUAAAACUGUGCAACUGU